GCCAGUGUGGUGUAGUGGUCUCGGUGUUGGACUGUGACUGUGCAGACCAGGGUUCAAAUCCCUGCUCAGCCA